GGGGUUGUAGCUCAGUUGAUAGAGCGCUACGUUCGCAUCGUAGAGGUCGUGGGUUUGAGUCCCAUCAGCUCCACCA
rnacentral:tRNA from 9 species